AUGAGGACCUUUUAGGAUGUGACACUCCGAUGCUGGCAAUGUAAACAACCGGGCUGAAAUAAAGCAUGUUCCAGUCCUAAAUACCCAGUGUAUUAUUUAUACAAUAACACUUCAUGGUGGCAGCGGUGGGAUAAAGAGAUCCCCCACGGAGCAGAUCGGGUAGGGGAGUAGUCCGAGGGUAAUUCUGUCGUUGCCCGCACUUGAGGAGCUGAGCUAACUGAUAGCAGCGGUCUGAUAGCAGUUUUCUAAAAUGGACUUUCAAUCGAAGCAGGAGGUAAUAAGGGGAAGAUAUCCAUCGAGACAGAGAGACUUUUAAAACUGAAGAUAGAUAAGGAAGACUUCUAUAAACAAGUUAUUGAUGCUUUUGAUCAGAAGGAGCUGACAUGGACUUCAUUUAUAAGUAAAGGAAGGCCAACGCCGGAGCUAAAAGGUUUGCUUCAGACAGUGAUCUCCAUCAAGACAGAGAGACUUUCAAAACUGAAGAAAGAUAAGGAAGACUUCUAUAAACAAGUUAUCGAUGUUUUUGUUCAGAAGGAGCGGCGCAUGGACUUCAUUUAUAAGUAAAGGUUCCGAGGUGUGUGUCUCGUCUCCCUGGAUCCCCUCUGGACUCUCUGCUGCCUUCCUGGAUCUCGACCUCAUGCCUGCCUUUGGACCACAAUGCCUUGCUCCAGCCUCUGACCUCCCGGUCUACACAUAGUCACACCGUGUACAGUUUGGUUUAAACACACACUCCAUAUAUAUUUGUAUAUUUCAAUAAACACG